UGUACAAGUAAUUUUUAUUAAUAUCUGUUUUGCUUUGUUUCUCUUCUAGAUGAAAGUAUUUCUGGAUCCGUGCUUGGUCUGUGUUUGGGCAGGCGUGUGUGGGUGUGUGUGUGGGUGUGUGCGUGUGUGUGUGUGCUUCCCUGUGAGGCAGACAAUGUUUGCUUUUGUGUAACAUUGUUGACUAAAAACCAUCCAUACUAGAAAGUCCAACAAUUUAAAUGAUUCUGCAAAGAUCCAGACAGAAUUAUGCUCCCAGGCUGCAGACAUUUAACCAGAGGGAAGGAAUAAAGUCAAAAUGAUUUAAUUUUAAAGACGUUUGCUUUCCAGCCUGAAGUAAACUCCUGCUCCUUACGCAGGUUUUUCAGACCCAAAGCUUCAGUCUGAUGUGAUCUGAGAAAGGACUUCCUUCUAAUGUUGAGGAACUUCGACAGCUGUCAGCUGCACUUCUGAACGUAAAGCAACAUUUAGCUGAAGCUAGGAUGUAUUUCCUCCUUCUGUUUCAACUCUGCGGUAAGGCAGAGCAAGAACCCCUUUCACUUUUGAACAUCUGAUAGGGAUCUGUGCGUUCUGCGUUCAGAAACACCCGAAACUAUAUGGCUCCCUUCCCCGCUGAGCGUGAAGACCACCCCGGUUUAUUUUUAGCUUUUAGCGUGGGCUAACAGUGAUGAGUCUGAAAGAGAAUCUUACUCAUUUCUCCUUAGAUCUUUCUCAGAACUACCUGAAGGAAAUGACAGGUCUUCAUGCAUGUCAUCGCUCUGCUGACCUAAAAAUAAAGGCACGUGUGUGUGGGGUGUGGGUGUGUGUGUGUGUAUAAACUACAAGGUUUUAAGCGUAAAAGUGAGUCGUCAGGAGGAAGAGGUUUGUUUGAGUCUUUCGUUUCCAGUAAAAUGAUUUUAUCUGCAAAAGUCUACUCAUUUACAACUUCUGCAAAAUUUACAACUUUUGCAGUGCAAAACCAUAAAAUUUAUUGUUUUGGAGCUUGAACUAUGUGUUAGUUUUGGGUAUAAGGAAAAGAAAACAAAAGAAUUAGGAUUUUCUAGACAAUUCAGACUUGAAAAAUGUUUCCCAUUUCUUUCAAACAAUUCUUGUUUGGUCCCUGCAAGGUUCUGACUUCACCUCCUCACUUCCUCCCUCCCAGAGAUGAACUUCCUCUUCUUGCUCAGCUUUGCUGGUUUGCAGUUUUGAAGUGUGCUGCCUCAGCAUUCUGCACGUGGCACCAGCUCACCCCCUUACAAGUUCAAUUCAGUUCUUACUAAAGGUGUUCUAAUUACUGUAGACUUCAAGCAGUCACAAAUCAGGUACAAAAGUAUAAAAGCCCUCUCUAACGUUUUCACUUUUUGUCAUGUUGCAAGUUUUCAGCAGUAGUGCGUAAUUCAGAUACUUGCCACCUUUACUCUGAUAUCCUCAAAUGAAUCCAGCUGUCUUUAAAUGUCACCUCAUUAGUAACUACAGUCCAGUCUGAGUGCGUAAAACCAAGAAAAACAAACAACGCAGCGUCCUUGUCACAAAACGCCUGUUACAGGACUUGGUUUGGAUCAUUUCUAUGUUGAGAUGACCUAGUCAAAGCCCAGACUUGACAACUGAUGUUCACUUGGGGCUUUCCAUCCAAAGUCAAAAAGUUUGAGUUAUAUCACAAACAACAAUUUGAAGGUUUAAAGCAUAUUGUGGCUUGAUGAGGGUUUUACUUGGGUGGUUGGGUGAAUUUAAAUGCACACCACACUUUUCAGAUUUUCACCGUUUAAGAAAAAUAAUGACAACCACAUAUCAUUUUCCUUCCCUCUUCACAGUUCUGCUCUGUAACCUUAAAUCCCAAUAAAACACACCAAACGCUUGUGGUCUCAACUCAUUCAAAGGCUAUGAAUAUAUUUCCAGGGCACUAAAGCUUCAAAUUAAAGCAUUUUUCGUUAUUUUUAACAAUGUCUUUAAGUACUUUAAGAGCCAUGUGGGUGCAUGUAUGUUUUACAAUGAGCCCAAUUAGCCAAAUGAGGGUGUAUUUGUGCUGACAAAGGUUUGCUGCUAAUGCAGGGAAACCCCUCUGCAGCGCAGCGCUCACCUCUCCCUUUCUCUCUGACUCCUUUCUUCCACUCAUCCUUCAUUGUUCUUACUGUAAAAUCAAACAGUCAUCACUGUCUUCUUCCUGCAGAGGAGGGGCCGGGGCCCGGCGGCCGCUGCUGAGGAAGUGCAGCGCGGGGCGGGAGGCCUUCGCCGGAGGGGGUCCCAGCAGGGAGGAGGAGGCGGAGGGCAGCGGAGCCACGGUGGCCCUGACCCUGCUGCUGGGUCCAAGCUGGCGGUUUGGAGGCUGAAGUGAAACAACACACACAUUGUGUCCAUGUAUGCAGAGGAAACCUCAAGACCAAGAAACACAUUUUUUAUGCAUUUUACACACAUAUUUAUCUAAUUUGUAACUGUGAAUGAUAAAGUGUUGUUGGACUGAA